AACACAAACCCCGACGCUGAAUGCGUCAAGGAAUUUAAAAUUUGCUCUGAGCGCACCUGCAUGGCACCGGAGACGGUUUUCGUGCGGGUUGUGUUCUGACACAUAAUAUAGAAUGACUCUCGGCAACGGAUAUCUAGGCUCUUGCAUCGAUGAAGAACGUAGCGAAAUGCGAUACUUGGUGUGAAUUGCAGAAUCCCGUGAACCAUCGAGUCUUUGAACGCAAGUUGCGCCCGAUGCCAUUAGGCUGAGGGCACGUCUGCCUGGGCGUCACAUAUCGAAGCCUCUCGCCAAUUUCCUAUAUUGAUAGGGGUAUUGUGCAGGGCGAAUGUUGGCCUCCCGUGAGCUCUAUUGCCUCAUGGUUGGUUGAAAAUUGAGACCUUGGUAGGGUGUGCCAUGAUAGAUGGUGGCUGUGUUACGCACGAGACCAAGUAAGUCAUGUGCUGCUCUAUCGAAUUUAGCCUCUUUUACCCACAUGCGUUUCGAAACGCUCGUGAUGAGACCUCAGGUCAGGCGGGGCUACCCGCUGAAUUUAAGCAUAUCAAUAAGCGGAGGAAAAGAAACUAACAAGGAUUCC
rnacentral:rRNA from 1 species